GUAUUCAUGGUGGUCCAUCGAGUUGUAUUAGAAAUGGUAUAAUUUUGUAGUGAAAAAAAGGAUCAAUUCUUCCAGAACAAAUCAAGAGUAAUUUAAAGUUUUCUAUCUUCUCUUUAUAUAAUAAGCAAGGUAUUGGUUAGUUUUGAUUGUUUUAACCUGAAUCAACAUCAGAGAGAUAUUUUAUUAUGUGGUGAUUGUUACUUUGAUAAAACAUUGUUUGAGAAUUCAACCAAGAUGGACACAAGAAUUCAUAAUAGUUCGAAUAAAACUUUGGAGUCGAUUUCAGUUUCUCAAAAGAAUGGUCGGAUCAUAUCGCUGCGCCUAUAGAACAACAAAUAAGAAACUCACAUUCCUUGAGGCUUCAGAACGUAUUCUUUCUACACGGUCUUAACCGAAGAUUCGUCGUACCUCACCCAACAGUUUUGUAGCCGACGUGGAAGGCAUCGAUUACGUAGUGUCCCAUGUUGGCCUCUUUGCCAUCGUGGUACACGACGACGAAAAGCUUCUACUACUACUCUUCUGGAGACUGUGACAAAACCUGUAUCGAAUCAAUUUUGAAUGGGAUUUCAAAUUCCAAAGACUUGAUUAAUCUUCGUGCAACCAACAUGACUGUAAAUGAAAAACUUCAAAUGCAAUAUGAGGAUAACGGAAGGUUCGCAGAGCAAUAUUUGCUCUCACGCUUCGUCCUGGUCAUCAGUCUUCGACGAAAUCGUCCUCUCUCAUCUGUUUUUGGAGACUAAUACCUCAAGCGCAUCGUCACGAAGGAGGAUAGUUUUGAGUCAUGUUUACCUUUAAGUAUAUUCCCUUUUAAUCAUUUUAAUCAACAACAGUUUCAACUCUGUCCAACUGACUGAGUCAUCGCCUAAUUGCUGAAUUAAUCGCAGAUGAAAGAAGUGAAUAUUUACCCAAGAUAUAUUUCUUGCAGGUCAGUCAUAACGGGAUUUUUUUCACCCUAAUGUCGGCAAUGCUGAAAAUUCUCUGUUAGAUUCCCAAAAUUACUUGUGAGACCAACGAAAAGAAGUUGAAAAGAAACUCUCAUAUCUAAAGUUUAAGAUAAAACGUAAAUGGUCUGUCGCAUUUCAAUAAAGGAACUUUUUCUUUCAAAAAAAUGACAGUUUGCUGCAAGGGAAAUUUGUUAUACCACAAAGAUGUCAGCAAACGAACUAAGAGAAAAAAACCGAAACAUUUAGUUAUGAAAUGAUUUCUGGAGAGUUAACUUUCGCUACUCAUAUAAAAUUGGAAUGUGAAGGCAAGACUGAUGAUUCAAAUUCACAAUGGGCAAAAACAGUAAUCAACACCACUGAAAAUGGUGAACUGAAAAAAAUUUUAGAUGAUCUUUUCACAUGUAUGUAGUACGGGAUUAUUGCUCUUGGUAUUUCAAAGACCUUUGACAGUGUAUUAUUCGAUAUAGUUUCCUUCGAGAGCGAUUUGUCUUUAGCCUCAAAAUAGGCCUCCGUUUCGACGAUUACCUCUUUAUUGGCGAUUAAUGGAUGUCCGAGAGCAGAAAAUAGUAUCUGGAAGCCAGAUCUUGAGAAUACGAUAGAUGCAGAAGUAAUUCAUGUGAUUUUGCCAUCGUUUUUAUUGAUUUGUGACACGGUGCAUUUUCUUGAUGCAACAGCACUUUCUUUUUCUCCAAAUGGGACCGUUUUUACGUGAUUUCGACACUCAAAUGCUCCAAUAACCCCAUGUAAUAGUAUCUGUUGAUGGUUUUUCCUUUUCAAGAUAGUCUAUGAAUAUUAUACCAUAUUAUACUCAUAUCAUAACCUUGCCAAUCGAAUGUUGCGUCAUUGCACGCUUUAAAGUCGGUUCACCACGUGCAAUCCACUCAGAUUAUGAUCGUUUUGAUUCUGGUAUGAAAUGGCGAAGCCACGUUUCAUCCAUUGUCACAUACAAAGCCUAAAUUCGGGUUUUUCGGGAUGGAACAGCUUCAAACAGGGCCCAGAAUCAUCAGUUCGUUGUUGUUUUUGGUCAACUGUAAGCUCGCGCGGCAUCCACUUUCAACAGACCUUUCGAUACCCAAAUAUUCAUGCACGAUAUGUCCAACAUGUUCCUUUGAUAUCUCCAGAGUCUCAGCUAUCUCGAGCAACUUCACGUUGCGGUCAUCCAAAAUUAUUUUGUUAACUCUUUUGACAUUUUCAUCGGUAAGAGCCUCUUUGGGGCGUCCACUGCGUGUAUCAUCCUAGGUGCUCAUUUCACCUCCUUUAAACUCGGCAAACCACUUCUCAACGGUUGAUUUUCCUGGUGCAAAGUCUGAACAAUGUUUAUCAAGCCAAGCCAUGGCUUCAAUAGUUUUUUUUGCCAAAAAGCAAUGCUUGAUUGACAGAGGAAAAUCCUUUUUAUCCCUUUUCUUCAAACUAACAAAAGUUGCUUCACUCAAAAUGUUCUAUCCCACAAACUAAUAGUCCGACAGCUGUGAAAUUUGUACACGUGUCUUUUGAGGGUUAGGGUUAACUGUAAAUUAUAUGGAUUUAUUAGUAGUAGCGCCAUCUGUUUGUUAGCAUACGAACUGUUCAGUACAUCUAUAUACUAUCAGCUGAUAAUACAUUUCUACGUGGACAAGUUUCAUAUUUAAUGAAGAUCAGGAGGAAAUUCGACUUGGGGUGAGAGUGAAUAAGUUGAACCGAACAAAAUCAUAUCAGGGCGCAAUAGCUGUGAAAGAAAAUAAUACACACCUCAGCGACUCAUGUAUUACAAAACUCAAAUUAGAACUUGGAAAUACUGCUCAGAUAUGCGAUUUAAAUGCUACUCAAUCGCCACUUCUGCACAGACACCGCUUCCAAAGCGCUUUUUCUUCUGCACUGUACAACAAUGAAAAAUACAUAUAUGUCUUACA